rnacentral:lncRNA from 1 species
GCCUGUGGAAACAAAACCUGUCAUAUUGGAGAAGUCCAUCAUACAACUUCAAGUGCUUAUCUUUUGCAACCGUUUCAGCUGUGCUGAUGGGAGUAGUGCUGUGGCAGAAAGGCACGAAAAUGUAAGUCUAAGUAGAUACAUUUCUGCACUAACAAAAAUAUUGAUUAGACUGGAUAUACUAAGUUAAACUGCUUAAUGAUUGUUUCUGUUGUUCACAGCCAAGAUCAACAGGACCUAUUUAACAUACUAUCAGCCGUAUUUAUAGUAUUGCAAGUCAUAGGUACAAAUAACUGCUCUUCAGUUAUAGCAAUAGUGGCAAGUGAACGGUCCGUCUUGUACAGGGAAAUGUUCUCUGGAAUGUACUCUUCUUAUGCAUAUUCCUUCGCACAGGUCAAUAUAAAUUUCCAAGGCAAAAACAUAGAUGCUAGUACAAAUAUUAAUACAUCCAUGCCAUAUAACAAGUUUUUGUCUUCUCAAUUUCUUACUGUAGGUGUGUAUUGAAAUACCAUAUUUGUUGGUCCAAGCACUCGUGUAUUCAACUAUCACAUACUCGGCAAUGGGGUUCUAUUGGUCCAUCAGCAAGGUUGUCUGGUACUUCUAUGUUUCGUUCUUCUCACUGCUCUACUUCAGUUAUCAAGGAAUGCUUAUUGUGUCACUGAGUCCAGACAUGAAAGUUGCCUCCAUACUAGCCGUGGCCACUUACACUAUUCUUAGCCUAUUCUCAGGAUUCCUGAUACCUGGUCCGGUAAGAUACAGGUUUUGAAGUAUUAAUGUAUCUUUAGUUGCGAAAAAUACUUCCUAUAUCACUAUCUGUAUGUAAAAUGAUCUGAAAAUCAUUAUGCAGCACGAAUGCCUAACUCUUUAAGCGGAAAUUAUCAGUUUUAGGUAUCAAGUACUGCUUAAGCCUCCCGACGCCUUAGUAGGAUUAGACAAACCUAGAACAAAAUCAGGAUCCUUAAAGUUUUGAUAGACUAGAAGUAGCAAGUUGUCAUGCAUAGUUAUAUAUAGUCAAAAAAUGAUGUUUUUUUUUGUUACAUUGCAGGCAAUUCCAAAAUGGUGGGUUUGGUUAUAUUAUAUAACUCCAACCUCAUGGUUCCUGAAUGGAAUUAUCACACCACAAUAUGGGGAUAUAAAACAAGAAAUCUCUGCAUUUGGAGAAAGGAAAGCACUCACCUCUUUCUUAGAAGACUAUUUCGGGUUUCACCAUGACAGAAUUGGUCUUGUGGCUGUAAUUGUUGCCAUAUAUCCCAUUUUAUGUGCCUUUCUAUUUGCAUAUUUCAUCGGAAAACUGAAAUUUCAGAGGAGGUGAAGAAAGCAGAAGAAGGAUUUGCAUUGUAAAAUCGCAGAAAUCAUUCAACUCUGGAAGUAGUAUUUAUUUGCUUAGUUUUAUUCUUUGUAGUGCUAUAGCAUGUAAAUUAAAUUAGAAAUGUAAAAAAAAAAAAAGGAUUCUUUGUGUUGAAUAAAGAAUGUGUAAUAUGGUUAUAAGCUGAUAAUAAUAAAUCACUCAAGGUUUCUAAGAUAGGGGUGCAACAGUGCCUGUGCACAUGAUGAUGUUCACUGUUCUGAUAUUAUCUUGUGGUACUUAAAUGAACAAUUUUAAUCAAGACUGCAUAAUUAAUUCCCAGAGUUUAGGACAAACAAAUCUCUAAGAUCUUUUAACCCUAUUUAAAUAAGGGGCUGAUCCUGACAUACAUAUGUUGACAUCAUACGUUCAGCGGAAAAAAAAAAAAGCUUUAAACGGGAUUAAUCCUAAGUUUGUGAUGAUGUAUAUACAGAGGGUGCUACAAUAUCAUUCAGCGCGGAAAAUUAUCUCAUCUUAGAGUUUUUCACAUCCCGCCCUUGUUUUCCAUUUGAUGCAUGCUAGUAAUUUUACUCCUUCAAGUGUAUUCGUCGAAUCACUAUAUGCAGAUGGCUCCAACUUCCUGUAAUCUGAUAUAUAAGUAAAGCUAGUAAACUAAUACAAUGUAUACAUUCAACAACAAAAUUUUAAAAGACAAACAUAAUUCAAAACCUUAGCCUCAUCUCUCUCUCUUCUUUUUCGAGCCGUCGUCGGAGAUUUCAUCGAUUUUCACCGAUGAAAAGCUACGAAUCAGCUUAUUUCUCUUGAUUUGUUCUUGUUUUCUCAAUAAUACUCCCUACCGGAUCCGUUUCAAGAUUUAGAUCUACUCGAUUUUCAAGAUUUUGAUUUGGUGAUAAAUCAAUUGAGAUGAGUCGAUGACGAGAGCGACUGCGAUUCAAUCUUAGCCAUAGUAGUGAUUACAUAUAUUUAUAUUCGAUAAGGUAAGGAUCCUGUACGUCAAGCCAGGUGAAUCAUGCAUCAGAGCAGUGACAGAUGGGAAGGGAGUCACUUAUAUAUAUUCUCAACAAUGUUCUGGACCAGCUGCCUUUAAAUAAUUUCCAAUAAAUAAUUUUACUCCUUCAAGUGUGUUGAAAUAGAAGUCAUGUUUACACUGUUACUAUACCACAAGCAGCUGCUGUACACUAGCUUAGCUUAGUCACCUACAUAUAGCUUGUAAUAGUCAUAGUUGGUUAGGAGUUGUACACGUUCUAUUUACUUUCUUGUCUGUACUAGUUCCUAUAAAUUCCUCGUCCUAUUCUCAUGUAACCACAAUAUAGCAAUAUACAAAUUCUGUACUACUUUGCACUACUGCCUCCGCUCUCAACUUAUUCAUUCUUUCUGUUAUACACAUAUAUACACACACAUCAGUAUAUAUAUACACAUAACACAUAAGUUUCUACAUGGUAUCAGAGCUUUAAGCUCCUUACCUCCGCGUUUUAUUCUGCUGUAAUCAUCGUUCCCGGUGACAAACUCUCUCGGCCAUUAAACCAAACAGUUGGCGCAACCCAGUUUCUGACGAGUCAAC